rnacentral:rRNA from 1 species
GACGAACGCUGGCGGCGUGCUUAACACAUGCAAGUCGAACGGAAAGGCCCUGCUUUUGUGGGGUGCUCGAGUGGCGAACGGGUGAGUAACACGUGAGUAACCUGCCCUUGACUUUGGGAUAACUUCAGGAAACUGGGGCUAAUACCGGAUAGGAGCUCCUGCUGCAUGGUGGGGGUUGGAAAGUUUCGGCGGUUGGGGAUGGACUCGCGGCUUAUCAGCUUGUUGGUGGGGUAGUGGCUUACCAAGGCUUUGACGGGUAGCCGGCCUGAGAGGGUGACCGGCCACAUUGGGACUGCGAUACGGACCAGACUCCUACGGGAGGCAGCAGUGGGGAAUAUUGCAAAAUGGGCGGAAGCCUGAUGCAGCAACGCCGCGUGCGGGAUGACGGCCUUCGGGUUGUAAACCGCUUUCGCCUGUGACGAAGCGUGAGUGACGGUAAUGGGUAAAGAAGCACCGGCUAACUACGUG